GUGUUUUUAAUCUUCCUCACUCCUUCCCUCCCCAGAUGACCUUGAAAAAACCUUCAGUUCCAGUUUUCUCAUUUAUCAGAUGAGGAUGGUUGUACUUGUAAGGAUUACUUGAGAUGAUACGUGGGAAAGUGCUAAGUGCAAUAUGGAACAUUGUUAUAAAAAUGUGAAAAAACUGAAGGAGAGUGACUUAUUCUAAGUCACACCCUUAGGAUCUGGCAGAAAGAAAAAUGAACUGAGGCUUUCUGGAUCCUUCCUACUUUCUACCUCUGGCUGCUGCCUCUCUUGGCCACUCUAGAGCAUCGUGUGAUGCUGUGGUAUGACAACAACAAAUCAAUGUUGUCUCUUUUUUUUUUUUUAAAGAAGUGGUUCUUUUUAUUUAUUUAUUUAUUUUUUUCCUUUUUCUCCCCAAAGCCCCCCGGUACAUAGUUGUAUAUUCUUAGUUGUGGAUCCUUCUAGUUGUGGCAUGUGGGACGCUGCCUCAGCGUGGUUUGAUGAGCAGUGCCAUGUCCGUGCCCAGGAUUCGAACCAACGAAACACUAGGCCGCCUGCAGCGGAGCACUCGAACUUAACCACUCGGCCACGGGGCCAGCCCCUCAAUGUUGUCUCUUGGAUGUGAAGGUGAUGGUAUGGCUCCCAUGAAAGGCGGGUGUGAAUCCAUUCAUCUCAUCGUCCCUCACGUGACAAUGGUGGACAUUUCCAAGCUGUUUGGGAUUCAUGAGUAAUGAAGCCUUGAAAUGAAGUAAAACAAACUGGUCCUUCUGGCAAUGAAGUCUUUUUUUCGUCUUAUGAUCUACUUUAGAGAUCAUUUUUUAAAAUUGAGUUCAUAAUAGCUUACAUCAUUGUGAAAUUUCAGUUGUACAUUAUUUCUUAUCUGUCACCACAUAAGUGCUCCCCUUCACCCUUGAGCCCAUUCCCCACCUCCCUUCCCCUGGUAACCAGUAAACUGUUUUCUUU
rnacentral:lncRNA from 1 species